CCUACGGGAGGCAGCAGUGGGGAAUCUUGCGCAAUGGGCGAAAGCCUGACGCAGCCAUGCCGCGUGUAUGAUGAAGGUCUUAGGAUUGUAAAAUACUUUCACCGGUGAAGAUAAUGACUGUAGCCGGAGAAGAAGCCCCGGCUAACUUCGUGCCAGCAGCCGCGGUAAUACGAAGGGGGCUAGCGUUGCUCGGAAUUACUGGGCGUAAAGGGAGCGUAGGCGGACAUUUAAGUCAGAGGUGAAAUCCCGGAGCUUAACUUCGGAACUGCCUUUGAUACUGGGUGUCUUGAGUGUGAGAGAGGUAUGUGGAACUCCGAGUGUAGAGGUGAAAUUCGUAGAUAUUCGGAAGAACACCAGUGGCGAAGGCGGCAUACUGGCUCAUUACUGACGCUGAGGCUCGAAAGCGUGGGGAGCAAACAGGAUUAGAUACCCUGGUAGUCCACGCCGUAAACGAUGAUUGCUAGUUGUCGGGAAGCUUGCUUCUCGGUGACGCAGCUAACGCAUUAAGCAAUCCGCCUGGGGAGUACGGUCGCAAGNUUAAAACUCAAAGGAAUUGACGGNNGAGAGNGCGAGACGACACGAGGAGAG
rnacentral:rRNA from 1 species